AUCCAGUUUUCCCAUCACCAUUUAUUGAAGAAACUGGUCUUUCCCCCAUGGUGUGUUCUUGGAACCUUUGUCAAAAAUGAAUUCACUUCUGGGGAUACAUAU